rnacentral:lncRNA from 1 species
UAGCUUCCAAGAUAUUAAGAAAUGGAGCUGAGCCACUCAAGAGAUUAUCCAGUCAAACUGAUCACAAGUUUUACAGAGCAUUAUAUGAUUUAAGAAGAAGAUGGAUACUACGUAGAACAGCUAAUGGAGUCAGUGGAGACCUCAGCUAUAGAUCAGCUGGUUCACUGUAUGCUUAGUCAGUUCAGUUUGAGGUUCAUAAAGAAAUUGAAGGUACUAAUGAUAUACUGUCAGUAGUGGUACCUGAAGAAUUAAGAGGAAGGAGUGAAGUAGUUAUAUUCCUAGCAGACAGACCUAUUAAAGAGGUUGUUUCUCUUGAUUCUUUGUUGCCGUCUUGUUUCAUUGAGCUUCAUAAGCAACAGUUGAUGUUAACUCCAUGGGAGCAGAUACUUAAAUCAGCUCAAAAUGUGCUCUUCAAUGAAGUACUGU